rnacentral:lncRNA from 1 species
AUGGAAAGUGUCCCAGGAGACUACAGCAAACGAGUUUAUCAAGGAGUGAGAGUGAAGCACACAGUCAAAGACCUACUGGCAGAAAAACGAUCCAGGCAGACAAGUAACUCAAGAUUUAAUGGCAGUGUCGGUUCCGCUCAGUCUCCAUUUGGCCCCAUGCCAGGCUCACCGGUGAUGUCAGGUUACUAUGGUGUCAGGAGAGCCUUCCUCUCCGACCCGGACUUUCACAACACCAAGCAGUUUGCCAACGACGCCUGCACGUCAAGCGCAGCCAAGCCCUUUGCCUGCGAGUCCUCAGCAGGGCAGGGCCACGCGGCCCUGCUGGACCCCUACUUCCCGGAGCCCUAUGGGGACCACCGCCCCACGGCCCUGACCCCCAACAGCGGCACCCUGUUCAGCGCCUCGCCCCUGCCGCCGCUCCUGCCGCCGCCCUUCCCCAGCGACCCCGCACACUUCGUGCUGAGGGACUCGUGGGAGCAGACGGUGCCUGAAGGCCUCAGCCAGCCAGACCCCGUGCCGGCCGAUGCCCUGCAGAGCUUGGCACCCAGCACCAGCUCCCUCUCCCAGCUGGAGUCAGGAGGUGUGGCCCAGCACAGGAGCGCCGGCUGGGGGGGCCCCCUCACCGGGGUUCAGUCCUACUCACUGCACGCGCUGGAGGAUCUGUACCACACGCAGGGGUACCCCACCCCGGCCCCCUACCCUUUCACCUCUUUCAUGACGAUGUCCAGUGACCCACCGCCCAAGGUGGGGCCCUUCUCCCCAGACGAGGGGGCAGACACCUCUGCCCUCCAGGACGCUUCUCCAUGGACCAAAGAUGAUGGGAACCUGGCGUGGGGGGCAUACGAGUGCCGCAGAGCCUACUGA